UACGUAGGUGACCAGCGUUGUCCGGAUUUACUGGGCGUAAAGAGCGCGCAGGCGGUCGUUCAAGUCGAGUGUGAAAGCCCCCGGCUCAACUGGGGAGGGUCAUUCGAUACUGAUCGACUGGAAGGCAGGAGAGGGAAGCGGAAUUCCCGGUGUAGUGGUGAAAUGCGUAGAUAUCGGGAAGAACACCCGUGGCUAAGGCGGCUCUCUAGUACGGUACUGACGCCGAGACGCGAAAGCGUGGGGAGCGAACAGG
rnacentral:rRNA from 1 species